GCGGCUCCUUUCUGCAGAGACUUCCGUCCGCUUUGUACAGUAUCGCCGGGGCCUCUGGGGCAUUGCGGACCGCGCCCAGAACAUUUCUUACCAGCGUCCCUGCUCCCACUCUGCAGAUGCGCCAUUUACCUAGACGAGUCUUCCUGGCGCAGGAAAUGCGGGCCCGGCAGACAUGACUCAGAGUUCUAAUUAAAAAGGAAAUUUGCAUUA